UACCAACUGGAUGAGCAGCGAACGGGUGAGUAACGCGUGGGGAAUCUGCCUUUGAGCGGGGGACAACAUUUGGAAACGAAUGCUAAUACCGCAUAAAAACUUUAAACACAAGUUUUAAGUUUGAAAGAUGCAAUUGCAUCACUCAAAGAUGAUCCCGCGUUGUAUUAGCUAGUUGGUGAGGUAAAGGCUCACCAAGGCGAUGAUACAUAGCCGACCUGAGAGGGUGAUCGGCCACAUUGGGACUGAGACACGGCCCAAACUCCUACGGGAGGCAGCAGUAGGGAAUCUUCGGCAAUGGACGAAAGUCUGACCGAGCAACGCCGCGUGAGUGAAGAAGGUUUUCGGAUCGUAAAACUCUGUUGGUAGAGAAGAACGUUGGUGAGAGUGGAAAGCUCAUCAAGUGACGGUAACUACCCAGAAAGGGACGGCUAACUACGUGCCAGCAGCCGCGGUAAUACGUAGGUCCCGAGCGUUGUCCGGAUUUAUUGGGCGUAAAGCGAGCGCAGGUGGUUUAUUAAGUCUGGUGUAAAAGGCAGUGGCUCAACCAUUGUAUGCAUUGGAAACUGGUAGACUUGAGUGCAGGAGAGGAGAGUGGAAUUCCAUGUGUAGCGGUGAAAUGCGUAGAUAUAUGGAGGAACACCGGUGGCGAAAGCGGCUCUCUGG
rnacentral:rRNA from 1 species